rnacentral:rRNA from 1 species
GCAUAUCAAUAAGCGGAGGAAAAGAAACCCAACAGGGAUUGCCCCAGUAACGGCGAGUGAAGCGGCAACAGCUCAAAUUUGAAAUCUGGCCCCAGGCCCGAGUUUGUAAUUUGCAGAGGAUGCUUCGGGCGCGGUGCCUUCCAAGUCCCCUGGAACGGGGCGCCAUGGAGGGUGAGAGCCCCGUAUGGUCGGACACCAAGCCUAUGUGAAGCUCCUUCGACGAGUCGAGUAGUUUGGGAAUGCUGCUCUAAAUGGGAGGUAGACCCCUUCUAAAGCUAAAUACCGGCUAGAGACCGAUAGCGCACAAGUAGAGUGAUCGAAAGAUGAAAAGAACUUUGAAAAGAGGGUUAAACAGCACGUGAAAUUGUUAAAAGGGAAGCGCUUGUGACCAGACUUGCGCCGGGGCGAUCAUCUGGCGUUCUCGCCGGUGCACUCGCCCCGGCCCAGGCCAGCGUCGGUUCGGGAGGGGGGACAAGGACGUUGGGGACGUGGCUCCCCCGGGAGUGUUACAGCCCAGCGUGUCAUGCCCCCGCCCGGACCGAGGUUCGCGCUCUGCAAGGACGCUGGCGUAAUGGUCAUCAGCGGCCCGUCUUGAAACACGGACCAAGGAGUCGAGGUUCUGCGCGAGUGUUUGGGUGCCAAACCCGCACGCGUAAUGAAAGUGAACGUAGGUGGGAGCCUCGGCGCACCACCGACCGAUCCUGAUGUUUUCGGAUGGAUUUGAGUACGAGCGUUGGGCCUCGGACCCGAAAGAUGGUGAACUAUGCUUGGAUAGGGUGAAGCCAGAGGAAACUCUGGUGGAGGCUCGCAGCGGUUCUGACGUGCAAAUCGAUCGUCAAAUCUGAGCAUGGGGGGCGAAAGACUAAUCGAACCAUCCUAGUAGCUGGUUACCGCCGAAG